GGGAGUGAAAUAGAACCUGAAACCCUGCACUUACAAGCUGUGGAAGCACAUUUCUUGUGUGACCGCGUACUUUUUGUAGAACGGGCCAACGAGUUACGUUAAGUAGCAAGGUUAAGCACUUAAGGUGCGGAGCCGUAGCGAAAGCGAGUUUUAACUGAGCGUUCAGUUACUUGACGUAGACCAGAAACCGGGCGACAUACCCAGGAGAAGGAUGACGCGAAAGUAAAAUUUCUUGGAGGUCUGAACCCCCGAGCGUUGAACAGCUCGGGGAUGACGUGUGGGUAGCGGUGAAAUUCCAACAGAGCAUGGAGACAGCAGGUUUUCUCUGAAAUAGCCUUAGGGCUAGCCUCAAGGUGAGAGAUACGGAGGUAGAGCACUGAAUGUCCUAGGGGGUAUUGCACCUA
rnacentral:rRNA from 1 species